GUGCUGAACGAGCGCCGGAUGGGGGACGCGGCGCUGUUGCCGCUGCGGUUGUUCCGCCGCUCGGCGUUCGCGCUCAGCACG
rnacentral:tRNA from 1 species